rnacentral:tRNA from 1 species
UGGGUUAUAGCCAAGCGGUAAGGCAACGGGUUUUGAUCCCGUUAUGCGCUGGUUCGAUCCCAGCUAACCCAAUCA